GACGAACGCUGGCGGCGUGCUUAACACAUGCAAGUCGAACGAAGUGGCGAACGGGUGAGUAACGCGUAAUCAACCUGCCCUUCAGAGGGGGACAACAGUUGGAAACGACUGCUAAUACCGCAUACUGAAGGAGGGGAUUGCGUCUGAUUAGCUAGUUGGAGGGGUAACGGCCCACCAAGGCGAAGGUCAGAAGCCGGUUCGGGAGGGUGGACGGCCACAAUGGGACUGGGACCAGGCCCCAACUCCUACGGGAGGCCGCAGUGGGGGAUCUUCCGCAAUGGACGGAAGUCUUACGGAGCAACGCCGCGGGAGUGAUGACGGCCUUCGGGUUGUAAAGCUCUGUUAAUCGGGACGCGGUACCGGAAUAGAAAGCCACGGCUAACUACGUGCCAGCAGCCGCGGUAAUAC
rnacentral:rRNA from 1 species